rnacentral:rRNA from 1 species
CCUACGGGAGGCAGCAGUGAGGAAUAUUGGUCAAUGGACGCAAGUCUGAACCAGCCAUGCCGCGUGCAGGAAGACGGCUCUCUGAGUUGUAAACUGCUUUUGUACGAGGGUAAACGCAGAUACGCGUAUCUGUCUGAAAGUAUCGUACGAAUAAGGAUCGGCUAACCCCGUGCCCGCAGCCGCGGUAAUACGGAGGAGUCAAGCGUUAUCCGGAUUGAUUGGGUUUAAGGGGUGCGUAGGCGGUCGGAUAAGUUAGAGGUGAAAUCCCGAGGCUCAACUUCGGAAUUGCCUCUGAUACUGUUCGGCUAGAGAAUAGUUGCGGGAGGCGGAAUGUAUGGUGUAGCGGUGAAAUGCGUAGAGAUCAGACGGAACACCGAUUGCGAAGGCAGCUUACCAAGCUACUUCUGACGUUGAGGCACGAAAGCGUGGGGAGCAAACAGGAUUAGAUACCCCAGUAGUC